CCCUGGGCCCACCAGCCAGUGGGGGCCGCACCCUUCCCACCCCUUCUGUUUCGCGGGGAGACCUCAGUUCGGUCGAUGCCAGGAAAUUUUUGGGAUUAAACAUGGCAUUAGAAAAGGAAGGUAUGAUCUAUCUCUUUAUUAUAUUAGUUGCACGUACGGUAGCGGUAGGGAUACCGUGGAAUGAUCGAGAGAUAAAACACACACGCAUGAUGACUUGUAUAAUAACAAGAUAGUACAAAAUAUAAAGCGUCUCUCGUCGCACACCACCCGCGAAAUGGUGUGCGGUCAUCAAGUUCGAGGUUAGUGUCGUCCAAACAAAUAAUGGUGAUUAUUCCCGAGAGCAUAUUAUUCUAGACCAUCCGAUAUGAUCCAACACACGAGGUUCAUUCCCAAAAGCAACGUGUAUAUAUUGUUUCAAAAAAAAGCAACGUGUAUAUAGAGGGUGCUCUCGUAUGGCGGUUGUUAUGAAGAAAUUAGAAUUAAUGAUCAAUUUCUGUAAUAAUUAAUUAGAUUAGUGAUUAGGUGGUUACCUUUCAUGAAAAGACUAAUUCACGGAAAAGCCAACUCCCGCCAUGCCGAAAGGGUCUCUUUUGGUCUUGUAUAUAAACAGUGAUCUUCAUUAAUCAAGAGAAUCAAUCAUUCCAUUCACUUUCACUUCUAACACGUCAUCAGUAACACGUUAUCAGCAAGCUCUUCCUUUGAGCGAUAGAAGAGUUCCUCGGCAAGCUUCUGAACACGAGGAAAGAACAGAUGGGAGAAGAAGCGAAAGCGCUUGCAGGCCAAUUCGCAUGCAGCACACUCGGCUAAGAAGAUGAUCGGAAGAACGGACGGCCUCUUGCCGGCGACAACGGUGGCACGUGCAUCCACCAACGACGGCGCAAUCCCCUUCACGGCACCGCAGCCAAUACAAUAGAGGCAUGGGCUUAAUUCCAGGCUCAAUGGCAUGAAGACACGAAGAAAUAGAGGCCAAAAGCCUAGGCCAAAACAGAAAAAAAAAAAA